UCCUGUCUCAGUUCGUGCUAGUUGAGACCGUCAUCACUGGGGUCCUCACCCCUUCCCUUGACCCCAUGACCUAUUAACCUUGACCUUGUCUUCUUGUCUCAGUUCGUGCUAGUUGAGACCGUCAUCACUGGGGUGUUGGACUGGUUCCCAGACCUCCGGCUCUACAAGAAAAGGUUCGUCUUUCUCACCUGUUUCACCAUGUGUGUCUUGGGCCUGCCUUUGACGUUUGAUGGUGGAGUGGAUGUGCUGGAUCUUAUGGAUACAUACGUCACAGGGUGGAACGUAAUGCUGGUGGCUAUUUGUGAGUGCCUGGCUAUAGCUAUAUAUGGUCCCGAGAGAUUCCUAACGGACAUUGACCUGAUGUUGGGGGGAAAAUUCUGCCGAUGUUGCCGCUUUAACCGGGCCAUCAAGUCGUGGUUUAAAUUCUGUUGGCUCUUCAGCGCCCCCGCCCUC